rnacentral:rRNA from 1 species
AGAGUUUGAUCAUGGCUCAGGAUGAACGCUAGCGGCAGGCUUAAUACAUGCAAGUCGAGGGGCAGCAUGGUGUAGCAAUACACUGAUGGCGACCGGCAAACGGGUGCGGAACACGUACAGAACCUUCCUUCGAGCGGGGAAUAGCCCAGAGAAAUUUGGAUUAAUACCCCAUAGUACAUUGAGGCGGCAUCGUUUUAAUGUUAAAGAUUUAUCACUUGAAGAUGGCUGUGCGGCUGAUUAGGUAGUUGGCGGGGUAACGGCCCACUAAGCCUGCGAUCAGUAACUGGUGUGAGAGCACGACCAGUCACACGGGCACUGAGACACGGGCCCGACUCCUACGGGAGGCAGCAGUAAGGAAUAUUGGUCAAUGGACGAAAGUCUGAACCAGCCAUGCCGCGUGGAGGAUGAAGGUCCUCUGGAUUGUAAACUUCUUUUAUAUGGGACGAAAAAAGGGCUUUCUAGCUCGUCUGACGGUACCAUAUGAAUAAGCACCGGCUAACUCCGUGCCAGCAGCCGCGGUAAUACGGAGGGUGCAAGCGUUAUCCGGAUUCACUGGGUUUAAAGGGUGCGUAGGUGGGUUGGUAAGUCAGUGGUGAAAUCCCCGAGCUUAACUUGGGAACUGCCAUUGAUACUAUCAGUCUUGAAUACCGUGGAGGUCAGCGGAAUAUGUCAUGUAGCGGUGAAAUGCUUAGAUAUGACAUAGAACACCAAUUGCGAAGGCAGCUGGCUACUCGGAUAUUGACACUGAGGCACGAAAGCGUGGGGAUCAAACAGGAUUAGAUACCCCGGUAGU